UUCCAUUUAAAAAAUAAAAGAUAACCUUGAUGACGCUAUUCAAGGUCAUACUAGUAUUGCUAUGUGACGCGAACUUUUUUAUUUAAUAUUUUUUUUAUAUCUUGCAUAUUUUCAGAAUUAUUCAGGUGGUCUGUUUUAGAUGCCUUAAUAUAUAUUAAUGUAUUAAUUGUAUAUAUAGAAAGGAACACGAGGAAGCAGAGAGAGAGAGAGAGAGAAAGAGAUAGAAUUAUACAUGUUACCGCCAAUGUGCGAAAUUGAAGGCAUUUUAUAAAAUGACUAAGAAAUCUAUAGAAUGCCGGAAAUGGGACGUCAAAGUAUGAAACGUUUAUUAUUUCACAUAUUUCCUAAGCACUCUAUGCAAUGCUGAAAGGCAAACCGGCAAAGUAUAGUAUACACUUGCUAGUGACGUUCUUAUUAUCUGGCGAGACACGUGACUUUCGAUCUUCAAUCAGCUGUUAUCAAUCCACAGGAAGCGGCCAAGAUUUCGUCUAUGUACAAGGACAAGUGUCAAAUACAAAGUGCUUUUGUAUGAAAAAACAAUGAAAUGCAAUUUAAAGUGCAAUUCUAGUCUUUCUCGUUACAAUGAGGAGGUCUCAAUACUGGUUUCUUUCUCUUGUUUCUUUUUUUUUCUUUUGCAGGUUUCAAAAAGAUUUGUAGAUCAGCUUAACCCCUUUUUCUACAAUAUCGUGUAAGACACAUGAUAUACCUUGCGGGCCAAACAUAAGAAACACGAGUCAGCCUCGUAGUACGUAUAUCGGAUCAAAUAUAAGAAGCACGAGUAAGACCCAUCGUAUAUUUUACGGACCAAGAAACACAAUAAAGACUUGUGGAAACACAUAAGACAUAGGAAACACAAAUACAACUUUAUCACCGACUUUGGCACGUGCUGUUGCGACUUAAAUCAUAGGGAUUAAUUCUCGAAGACCUUUAUCGACAAUCUCAAAUUCUCUGACCGUAACGAUCCACCGGAUCUCCGCGCGUGCCUUUGUAAAAUGAAAUCAGAGCGCACUCAACUUACUGGAACAUUUGCGAAAAUUAAUCCUAUCCUCUUCUAAUUUCUUUUUUUUGCGGUUUACGUUGUAUAACGCAAUAAAUUGAUUUGACAUGAAGAUUAUCACCUUAAAUUCUAUAUCGUGUAUAAAAGCCUUCUGUUUCGCCGAGAUAUCGACAGUUAAGGGCAGUUAAGGGUCUGCAGGAGCCAGAGACAAAUCCAGCGUUGACUUUGGAGGCUUCGUACGGCGAGAUCCAAGAUAUACGGCAAGAAAAUGCUUUCCAGGCUUUUGGGCAAGUGAGCAAAUGUCGCAGCGACUUAUGUGCAAUACCAUUUUACAAAUUGACCUAUUUUGUCUAGCUGACAUUGUAAAUCACCGCCAAAUUAUUAUAGCAUGUUCCUUAUAUUAUUCUCCAGAUCCCCACAAAGCCAGAUAUUGCAAUCCGGCCGUCCAAAAUUUAUGAAAAAUAAAUGAAGCGUCCGCCGUACCAAGCAUUGCAGCGAAUCACUCGAAAAAUUAUUUUACGAGAUGCAAAAUUUCGCCUCGUUGACGAAAGGUAUAAUUACUAAACUAUUACAGCAUUUAUAAUAUAUAAAUAAAGCAUCAGCCGUAUCAGGAGUUGCAGCGAGUCAGGUGGAAUACCAUUUUAUAAGAAGCAAUAUUUUGCCUUGUUGACGUAAUAUAUGACUAUGAACUUAUUAUAGCAUUUUCCUACAACUAUUCCUGAGAUCUCUACAGAGUUAGAUUUUACAAACAGGCCGUCAACAAUUUAUUAUACACAAAUAAAGCGUCAGCUGUACCAAAUAUCGUAGCGAGUCAGGCGG